GUACUUGCCUGGCAGGGGAGACACCUUGAUCAUGAAGGAGGUUUUCCCAGGGUGAGGCUCAUCCAUUGCACUACGAGUGUGCUGACCCCGACCAUUUCCCCAAAUGCGGGAUACUCGACUGCAUAAUUUGUGGUUGUGGUGGUUGUUGUUUAGUCGUUU
ensembl:snRNA U1 U1 spliceosomal RNA